rnacentral:rRNA from 1 species
UGAAUACGAGACGCUACGGCGUCGAAGCAGUCUAUGUCAUACUUCCAAGAAAAGCUUGCACUGUCAUAAACAAAUAAUGCCUGUACCAUAACCGACACAGGUGGGUAGGUAGAGUAUACUAAGGGGCGCGAGAUAACUCUCUCUAAGGAACUCGGCAAAAUGACUCCGUAACUUCGGGAGAAGGAGUGCCUUAUUUAUAAGGUUGCAAUAACAAGAUCCAAGCAACUGUUUAUCAAAAACACAGGUCUCCGCUAAGUCGUAAGACGAUGUAUGGGGGCUGACGCCUGCCCAGUGCCAGAAGGUUAAAGAAGUUGGUUAGCAUUAGCGAAGCUGAUAACUGAAGCCCUGGUGAACGGCGGCCGUAACAAUAACGGUCCUAAGGUAGCGAAAUUCCUUGUCGGGUAAGUUCCGACCCGCACGAAAGGCGUAAUGAUUUGGAUACUGUCUCGGAGAGGGGCUCGGUGAAAUAGACUUGUCUGUGAAGAUGCGGACUACCUGCACCAGGACAGAAAGACCCUAUGAAGCUUUACUGUAACCUGAAAUUGAAAUUGGACUUUAUUUGCGCAGUAUAGGUGGGAGGCAUUGAGAAUAUUCUUGCGGGAAUGUUGGAGCCAUCAGUGAGAUACCACUCUUGUAAUGUUAGAUUUCUAACUUUGUAUCAUUAUCUGGUCAAAGGACAGUUUCAGGCGGGCAGUUUGACUGGGGCGGUCGCCUCCUAAAUGGUAACGGAGGCGCACAAAGGUUUCCUCUGAACGGGUAGAAAUCGUAUCUAGAGUGUAAAGGCAUAAGGAAGCUUGACUGUGAGACCUACAAGUCGAGCAGGGACGAAAGUCGGUCUUAGUGAUCUGACGGUGCUGAGUGGAAAGGCCGUCACUCAACGGAUAAAAGUUACUCUAAGGAUAACAGGCUGAUCUCCCCCAAGAGUUCACAUCGACGGGGAGGUUUGGCACCUCGAUGUCGGCUCAUCGCAUCCUGGGGCGGUAGUACGUCCCAAGGGUUGGGCUGUUCGCCCAUGAAAGCGGUACGCGAGCUGGGUUCAGAACGUCGUGAGACAGUUCGGUCCAUAUCCGGUGUAGGCGUUAGAAUAUUGAGAGGAGCCUUCUUUAGUACGAGAGGACCGAGAAGGACAUACCUCUGGUGUACCAGUUAUCGUGCCAACGGUAAACGCUGGGUAGCUAUGUAUGGAGAGGAUAACCGCUGAAAGCAUCUAAGUGGGAAGCCCACCUCAAGAUAAG